GGGUGAAGGAAUGGCUAUAAGCCAAUUACAUGGAAGCUGGUUCUUGAAUCAAGCUUUGCAAGGUUAUGAGCAACCCCAUUGCUUCUGAUAUAAGAGAAUUGAACUGCUUCAAACUGACAAGAGAAAUGCAGAAUGUAUUGAACUGAGGCUUGGACUUCCCAACAAACAUUCGAGUGACCAUUUUUAACGGCAGAAAUCAAGCCUUCUGAAUCGGAUUCAAUGAUAAUAGAAACAGGAGACUAAUUAAAGCCUAAGUCGUUUUCAUAGAAAAUAAUUUUUUUUUAAUUUAAUUAUUAAAAUUCAAGAACAAAGUCGAAAAUAAUGACAAAUUCUUCAUCUUAUCAUUAUUUCGCUGCUGCUUAUCUCAACCCUGAUGUUUAAUUUGAUGACUUGUUUUUUUGGAAAUUGGAAGCAAGAUCACAAGAAAGACGCUCGCUAUGGAGAGGAGACGUCACCUGUCAGAAGUCGCCAAGGUCAAAACCCUUCCGCUUCGUGUUCUUCUUCUUCUUCAGUGACUGCAACAACCAAAA
rnacentral:misc_RNA from 1 species